GCUGAGGGUGUGUGUGUCCUCACUUCUCCCAGCCUGCUGUGAGCUGGCCCUAGGCACAGGGCCUUUUCCAGACCAGAGACCAACACAGCCAGGCCCGAAGGCCGGACCCUUGACAAUGGACCUGUGUGAGGUGGCAUGAGGAGCCCUCUGCUGUGUCCACACACCCUAGCCUCUGACAGACAGGGCAGGAGAGACUGUAAGGACCCUGAGAUGGGGGAUCUUCCUGGAUAUCCAAGGCCCAGUGUCGUUCCCCGUCACCCACAGCUUGGGGCCCUGGCCCCUCUGCCAUCCCCAGGACUACUGUCUGUUCUAGUGGGUGUGGAGAGCAAAGUCCAGAAUAUCCAUGUCUCCCUUUCUCUGCUGGCCCUGCCAAGUCCACCCCUGGGCCUCACCCUCCAGCCCCGAGCCUGGCCUCCUUUAGUCCCUCAUACUGGUCAGGGUUCUGCCCUCCCAGCUUUGGCUGAUCUGUCCUCUCUGGCACAACCUUUGCCAAGCAAGAGUCCUGCUCUCCAUGUUGGGGGACUCUCUGCCCCAAAGACAGGAGCCUUCAAUUAAGACAGAGUUGGACCCACAUUGGGGCUGUGUGACUUUUAGUGUUGACACAGCCUCUCUGAGCCCAGUGUCCUCAUCUGGGGGACGGAAGAGGAUCACAAUGGGUGGAGUGGGCCAGGGGAAGCAAGUACCUGGAGUGGAGAGAAAACUGUCCUCAGAUGGCCCUGACCAAAUGGCCUGGAAGGGGAGCAGGGAGGGGACAGGAAAGGGAGGGUGAGGGUAGAAAGGCCUCUGCAUUGGCUGCUCCUGGCUGAUCUUCGUGCAUAUCCACAUGGGUCCUUCCCUCAGUCACUCUGGGCCAUCAGUGGGAGGCCCCUUGUCCUGCUCCCCUCCCUAUAGUCUGCUCCCCCUCCACAGUGCCCCUCACUCCCUGUCCGUCACGGGUGCCCCUUCCAGUGGUCCAGGGCAGGUAAGCAGAGAAGAGAGGGUGACAGGGUGAUGGGUGACGGGGUGAUGGGGGAGCUGCUGGGUCCGGGGACAGGCUGGGACUGCGGGAGGUGUCAUCUGUGUGUCUACGUGUUCCUCUCUGUGUUCCUCCGUGUGACCGUCUGAGUGUGUCUGGGUGCGUGUCUGUCUCUGGGGAUCUGUGUGUGUGUGUGUGUGUGUGUCUUUGUGCAUUUUUGGGUGUGAGUUGUGCUUCUGGGCUGGUGCGUCCUGACUCUGUCUGUGUGUCUGGUCACACGUGCGCAUCGCGGUUUCUUAUGUGUGUGUGCCUGACCCUCUCUGUGUGUCUCUGUGUGCCUGGGUGUGGUGUGUCUCCAUGUGUCUGGGGACCUCUGAGCAGGGACACGCUCGGCCUGGCCCUCCUCCUGACUCCUGGAGGCCUGGUGUGGCCCCUGCCCUCCUUUCCUGCUUCUCACCUCUUCCCAAGCACCCUCUGGGCUCUGCCUCUCCUUCCUUACCUUCCCAGAGUAGAGGCUUGGCACAGAGCCUCCCUCCACCUCCUCCUGGUCUUUGCUCAAGUCCCUCAGGGCAGCUGGCACCCAGCACGUGCAGGGAAGGAGAACCAGUUCACAACGGUGAUGCCUCCUGCCAGCCCGGGCCCCGUGCCCGACUGUGGUUCCCAAAGGCUGGAUGAGGUAAGGGCCCCAGAAACCCAGAUGCGGAAGGGAUGGGGGGGGAAUCAUGACCUGGAGCAGCAGGUGACUUAAAAUUCCCAUUUUACAGAUAAGCUCAGAAUGGUUCAGUAAGCUGCCCAAGACUACACAGCCAAAGGUUGGGGGAAAUAGAUUUCUUUGGCUCCAGCUCCACCCACGGGCCUCCCUAUUCUGCAAAUAAGAAAACUAGGAGGACUCGGGUGUGUCCUGGGAUAUGGGAUUUCUAGGGCUAGUGCCAGGACAGUCCUGAGCAAACUGGGAUGAUUGGCCACCCUACCAAGAGGUGAAGAGAUUUGCUCAAGGACACACAGUAAGGACAAGAGUUCCUAGGCCAACACCUGCUUGUCCAAGAUGUCACCCCCUUUUCCUAACCAGACUGGGAGAGGGCGGGACCUAAAGGGAGCUAUGGAGGCAUUGCUCUGAAGGGGAGUGGGACCCGGCUGGGCUGGGCAGUGCGUGACUGCGGUCCCAGCCGCUCAGGCACCGAGGCCGGAGGACCGCGUGAGCGUAGGAGUCAAGCCAACGGCAGAGAGAGAGCUGCGUCGAAAAUAAAAUAUAUAAACAGGAGAUGGCAGUCUCCAGUCUGCAUUCGAAUGUUCCUCUUCUGGACGAGUCAACACAUUAGAUUCAAA
rnacentral:lncRNA from 1 species